AUGCAAUAUGCAUGCAAAACUAUCCUAAACAUGCAAAGUGAUGACAAAUUAUGUGAAAUGGUAUGAAACAGUGGUGAUAUGAU
rnacentral:sRNA from 1 species